rnacentral:rRNA from 1 species
UACGUAGGGUGCGAGCGUUGUCCGGAAUUACUGGGCGUAAAGAGCUCGUAGGUGGUUUGUCGCGUUGUUCGUGAAAACCGGGGGCUUAACCCUCGGCGUGCGGGCGAUACGGGCAGACUUGAGUACUGCAGGGGAGACUGGAAUUCCUGGUGUAGCGGUGGAAUGCGUAGAUAUCUGGAGGAACACCGGUGGCGAAGGCGGCAUCCUGGACCAACACUGACGCUGAGUGAGCGAAAGCCAGGGGAGCAAACGGG